UACGUAGGCAGCGAGCGUUGUUCGGAGUUACUGGGCGUAAAGCGUGCGUAGGUGGUUUGUUAAGUCUGUUGUGAAAGCCCCGGGCUCAACCUGGGAAUGGCAAUGGAUACUGGCAAGCUAGAGUGCGGUAGAGGGUAGUGGAAUUCCCGGUGUAGCGGUGAAAUGCGUAGAGAUCGGGAGGAACACCAGUGGCGAAGGCGGCUACCUGGACCAGCACUGACACUGAGGCACGAAAGCGUGGGGAGCAAACAGG
rnacentral:rRNA from 1 species